rnacentral:rRNA from 1 species
AGAGUUUGAUUAUGGCUCAGGAUGAACGCUGGCGGCGUGCUUAACACAUGCAAGUCGAACGAAGCAAUGAGACGGAAGUUUCGGAUGAAGAUUCAUUGACUGAGUGGCGGACGGGUGAGUAACGCGUGGGUAACCUGCCUCAUACAGGGGGAUAACAGUUGGAAACAACUGCUAAUACCCCAUAAGCCUCCAGUUUCGCAUGGAACGGAAGGAAAAUAUUUAUAGGUAUGAGAUGGACCCCGCGUCUGAUUAGCUAGUUGGUGAGGUAACGGCUCACCAAGGCAAUGAUCAGUAGCCGACUUGAGAGAGUGAUCGGCCACAUUGGGACUGAGACACGGCCCAAACUCCUACGGGAGGCAGCAGUGGGGAAUAUUGCACAAUGGGGGAAACCCUGAUGCCAGCGACGCCGCGUGAGUGAAGAAGUAUUUCGGUAUGUAAAGCUCUAUCAGCAAGGAAGAUAAUGACGGUACUUGACUAAGAAGCCCCGGCUAACUACGUGCCAGCAGCGGC